AGGCUCCUCCUCCCUUCCUUUUAGGCAUUUACGCUCUACUCUAGAGGAGAGCCGCUCAGCUGCAGGGAGGCAGGCACUUUAAGGAGGCUUCUUACCUGUUUCUUACUCUAGAGGCGGCACUUGACUGCAGACAGGCGCAUGCGCUUUUUGGGCCUGCAAGCCACGCACACUUUCCAUGUAAUGGAGGCAAGUUCUCUUACUCCAGAGGAAGGUUUUGGCUGCAGGCAGGCAUGAUUUCUGGGUCUGCAUGCCACACACACCUUCCAAGAUUUUCGAGAAGUCAUUGAGGAUGUCCUGCCUAUUCUAAAGAAUGAAGGUGUGCAAGUCUUCUAUCUGAGUGAUGCCUCCCCAACUCCUGGUGUGGAAGCUUUGCUGGGACGGAUGAAAUCCAGUUCAACUGACCCAAUGCCUGUCUCUUCCAGAGCCAAUAUAACCCCUAAUUCUAUAUCCCUGUAUAUUUUUACUUCUGGGACCACAGGUGAGUCGAACUGUGUCUACGUUUACCUGAGAAACCCAGGUUAAAUCUUUUCUGAGCAGUUGUAGUUUUACAAGAUCUUUAGCUUUCUCUGCCACAUAAUGCUGGUGCCUCGCUAAAUUACAACCCCAAUGAUUACAUAGCACUGAGCCAUGGCAGUUAAAGUGGUGUCAAACUGCAUUGAUUCUACAGUGUAGUUGCAUCCAUAGUUAGAAUUAUUGCCAUAGGAAUGAACAGAAGUAGAGUGCCUUAAUGCUCAUGUGUGAAUCAAUGUGGUACCUGGGCAUACAAAUCCUUUCC
rnacentral:lncRNA from 11 species